rnacentral:RNase_P_RNA from 1 species
CAAGUAGGCAAGGCAAUCGCGCUAAGCUUUUAAAGCUUGGUGAGGAAAGUCCGAACACCCCAGAAGAUAGCGGCUAACAGCCGUCCACCGUGAGGUGAGAGGUGCGAGCAGAGACGCCCGAAGUCGAAAGACCAAGGGGAUCCCUUAAUUUUAGGGGAUUAGUCCUGAAAGUAAUUUUAGGAGUGAAACGGCCAAAUCCUUAUCGGGUGCAAGAGUAAAGCCCAGCGAGAUAUUUCACUAUCUCAUAGGGUUAAAAGUAACUCGCAUGAUCCUGCAAGUAAUUGCAGGACUAGAUAGAUGGUUGCCUAAAACAGAAUUCGGCUUAUUGCCUGCUUGAGCU